rnacentral:tRNA from 1 species
GCUUCGGUAGUUUAAUUAGCUAGGACACUUGCGCGUAAAGCAGGCGAUCCAGGUCCGACUCCCGGUCGAGGUA